GAUGAACGCUGGCGGCGUGCCUAAUACAUGCAAGUCGAGCGAACGGACGAGAAGCUUGCUUCUCUGAUGUUAGCGGCGGACGGGUGAGUAACACGUGGAUAACCUACCUAUAAGACUGGGAUAACUUCGGGAAACCGGAGCUAAUACCGGAUAAUAUUUUGAACCGCAUGGUUCAAAAGUGAAAGACGGUCUUGCUGUCACUUAUAGAUGGAUCCGCGCUGCAUUAGCUAGUUGGUAAGGUAACGGCUUACCAAGGCAACGAUGCAUAGCCGACCUGAGAGGGUGAUCGGCCACACUGGAACUGAGACACGGUCCAGACUCCUACGGGAGGCAGCAGUAGGGAAUCUACCGCAAUGGGCGAAAGCCUGACGGAGCAACGCCGCGUGAGUGAUGAAGGUCUUCGGAUCGUAAAACUCUGUUAUUAGGGAAGAACAUAUGUGUAAGUAACUGUGCACAUCUUGACGGUACCCAAUCAGAAAGCCACGGCUAACUACGUG
rnacentral:rRNA from 1 species